GCUCUUUUAGCUCAGUUGGUUAGAGCGUCGUGCUUAUAACGCGAAGGUCGCGAGUUCGAUCCUCGCAUAGAGCA
rnacentral:tRNA from 1 species